rnacentral:misc_RNA from 1 species
AAAGUCGUAACAAGGUCUCCGUUGGUGAACCAGCGGAGGGAUCAUUACCGAGUGUAACAACUCCCAAACCCCUAUGUGAACUUUACCUUUUGUUGCCUCGGCGGGAUCGUCCCGGGUGCGUUGCAGCCCCGGAACCAGGCGCCCGCCGCAGGAAAAAACCAAACACAACUUGUAUCUAGGCAAUGUUUUUCCUAGUCCGCCCCCGGCGGAUGAAAGAGGGCAGCGCCGCAACGCCUCUGAAUAAACCUCUAAGGUGCCCUAGCGGGUGCUGAAGAAAUCAAUUAAAACUUUCAACAACGGAUCUCUUGGCUCUG